rnacentral:rRNA from 1 species
GAUCUGGUCAGGACGAACGCUGGCGGCGUGCCUAACACAUGCAAGUCGAACGGACGAGAGGAGCUUGCUCCUCGAGUUAGUGGCGAACGGGUGAGUAACGCGUGAGCAACCUGCCUUUCGAGAGGGGGACAACGGUUGGAAACGACCGCUAAUACCGCAUGAUGUAUUCGGAUCGCAUGGUCUGAAUACCAAAGAUUUAUCGCUGAAAGAUGGGCUCGCGUCUGAUUAGAUAGUUGGUGAGGUAACGGCUCACCAAGUCUGCGAUCAGUAGCCGGACUGAGAGGUUGAACGGCCACAUUGGGACUGAGAUACGGCCCAGACUCCUACGGGAGGCAGCAGUGGGGAAUAUUGGGCCAAUGGGGGAAACCCUGACCCAGCAACGCCGCGUGAAGGAAGAAGGCUUUCGGGUUGUAAACUUCUUUACCAGGGACGAAGGACGUGACGGUACCUGGAGAAAAAGCCACGGCUAACUACGUGCCAGCAGCGGC